GUCUACUCUGUUAUUGCCACUGUCUCCUUGCGCCACCAACAUCGUCCGCAUCCACCAUGUCACCUGCGGGCUUAGCAUGAGAGGAGUAUGCUCGGCCAGCUAUGCAUGGAUUUGAGGAUUUUUGUGCUUACGGGCUACUCUGUUAUUGCCAGUGGUUCCUUGCGCUACCACCAUCGUCCUCGUUCACCAAGUCACAUGCGGUAAGCUUUGUUCUUUCUAUCAUUUUCUUCUAUUUCUCCCUCAAAACAGAAGUUGUUGCUUUGCUUUUGUGAAUUUCUUGUGUUUUUCAGUUAUAAAGUCUGGAUUUUAGGGCUUAGAAUGAGAGGAGUAUGCUCGGGCUAUGCAUGGAUUUGGGAUUUUUGUGCUUACGGUUUGAUCUGAAAUCAUCAGCAGCAAAGGAAGACCACAUGGUGAUUUUGAAAUCAUCAAGAGCAUGCCUGGUGAACAUUAAUACAGCCAUUCCUUGCAUAUCCAAUGUUUGCAUUUUUAUCUUCAGGUAUACAGGGAAGCAUGAAGCAACACCAACUUGGUGGCUUAAGUUGGCAUAGUCAUCUCUGCGCUUCUUGGCUAUGUGAGUUAGAGUUUAUCUCUUCUCCUGCUUUUAGUUUCAACCAUUUGUUAGAUUAUACAAAAUCUAGUUGAUGAUUUGUUGAUCAAUUAGAAAGUUGUGAAAAUAAGUGUUUUGUUUAGUGACCCCUAACCUCUGAAUUAUUGAUACAUAAUUUUCUUUCAGAUUUAUUCACCUCACUUGGACUCACCUCCUCCACGAUGGGUUCAUCAUGUUGCACACAGAUUGCAUCAGAAUUAAUUCAAGCUUUGUAAUGGUUCACAGAGAAGAUUGAAUGAAUACGCUUUU